AACGAACGCUGGCGGCGUGCCUAACACAUGCAAGUCGAGGGAGAAAAGGGGCUUCGGCUCCUGAGUAAACCGGCGCACGGGUGAGUAACACGUAGGUAACGUACCCUUGAGUCUGGGAUAACCAGUCGAAAGACUGGCUAAUACCAGAUACGACUGCGGAAGCUCCGGCUUCUGCAGUGAAAGAUGGCCUCUGCUUGCAAGCUAUCACUCGUGGAUCGGCCGCGCACCAUUAGCUAGUUGGUGAGGUAAAGGCUCACCAAGGCUGAGAUGGUUAGCUGGUCUGAGAGGAUGGCCAGCCACACUGGGACUGAGACACGGCCCAGACUCCUACGGGAGGCAGCAGUGGGAAUAUUGCGCAAUGGGCGAAAGCCUGACGCAGCGACGCCGCGUGGGU
rnacentral:rRNA from 1 species